GGAGCAAACAGGAUUAGAUACCCUGGUAGUCCACGCUGUAAACGAUGUCGAUUUGGAGGUUGUGCCCUUGAGGCGUGGCUUCCGGAGCUAACGCGUUAAAUCGACCGCCUGGGGAGUACGGCCGCAAGGUUAAAACUCAAAUGAAUUGACGGGGGCCCGCACAAGCGGUGGAGCAUGUGGUUUAAUUCGAUGCAACGCGAAGAACCUUACCUGGUCUUGACAUCCACAGAAGUUUCCAGAGAUGGGAAUGUGCCUUCGGGAACUGUGAGACAGGUGCUGCAUGGCUGUCGUCAGCUCGUGUUGUGAAAUGUUGGGUUAAGUCCCGCAACGAGCGCAACCCUUAUCCUUUGUUGCCAGCGGUCCGGCCGGGAACUCAAAGGAGACUGCCAGUGAUAAACUGGAGGAAGGUGGGGAUGACGUCAAGUCAUCAUGGCCCUUACGACCAGGGCUACACACGUGCUACAAUGGCGCAUACAAAGAGAAGCGACCUCGCGAGAGCAAGCGGACCUCAUAAAGUGCGUCGUAGUCCGGAUUGGAGUCUGCAACUCGACUCCAUGAAGUCGGAAUCGCUAGUAAUCGUGAAUCAGAAUGUCACGGUGAAUACGUUCCCGGGCCUUGUACACACCGCCCGUCACANCCAUGGGAGUGGGUUGCAAAAGAAGUAGGUAGCUUAA
rnacentral:rRNA from 1 species